rnacentral:rRNA from 1 species
UACGUAGGGUCCAAGCGUUAAUCGGAAUUACUGGGCGUAAAGCGUGCGCAGGCGGUCUCGCAAGUCCGAUGUGAAAUCCCCGGGCUCAACCUGGGAACUGCGUUGGAAACUAUGAGGCUCGAGUGCGGCAGAGGGGGGUGGAAUUCCACGUGUAGCAGUGAAAUGCGUAGAUAUGUGGAGGAACACCGAUGGCGAAGGCAGCCCCCUGGGUUAGCACUGACGCUCAUGCACAAAAGCGUGGGGAGCAAACAGG